UGUGUGUGUGUGUGUGUGUGUGUGUGUGUGUGUGUGUGUGUGUGUGUGUGUGGCCAGGGGUGGGAGGAGCACUACUCUGUUCUGAAUCAGCAAUGUUUGAGAAAAAAGAAAGAUCUCCUGUGCUUUAACCGACUUUGGUCAGUUGUUUCUGAAAACUUUCAUUUUCUCUCCUUGUGUAUUUACUCGUGCUGUCUUCAGGAUUAAGAAGUCUGCCUCUACUCUCCCUGCCAGUGACUUCAACCAUGCUCCCUCCUGUCCUCUCCUGCUGGCCCAACCCUCCCUUCUAGCUCUCCCCUCUUCUAGAUACUUUCCAUUUUCCUUUUUUCCUUCUUCCUUUCAUCCCCCCUUCUCUUCUAUGGGAGUGGUAAUUGAUCAGUUGACAGAUCUAGGUCAAGCUGGCAAGGGUUUCUCAGCUUCCUGCAGGCUUGCCUAGAAGGAGGGGAGAGUCUGUGUUCCCAGCCCACUGGAGCCCAGAGCAUGGGGCAGAGCAUUGGGGAAGGAGGGCUGAUGAACUGUGGUAUGGCCUUUUGUUUAUUUGCAAGAGGAAAACCAGAAGCCCUGCAAGAAGAGCUCUGUAAGACAUUUGCAAACUGCAAAACAAACCAACAAAGAUUCUAAUUUUCAUUGCUGAAAGGAGAGGAUUUCAAGAGAGACUGUCAAGCUAAGAAUCAAAUAUUGGAAAACACAUUCUUCACUCCUGCCACCAAGAACAUCUUAGGUUACUAAGUUUGAUUUAUUUUCCCUAUCUCUUUUUAUUUGUGGCUUUUGUGAGAAUAUUAGCCUUUGCAUUAAUAAAAGACUGAUCGAAAGAC